AUGGGAGCAGCAGCGGGGAUGACGAGGAGCAGAGCGGGGAUGACGAGGAGCAGCCUAUUCUGGCUGACGACGACCAUGCUAUGAUGGUGGCUGACGACGAACCUGCUAUGGUGGUGGCGGAUGAUGACCUUGCUAUGGUGGUGUCGGACGACGACCUUGCUAUGGUGGAGGCGGACGACGACCUUGCUGUGGUGGUGGCGGACGAUGACCUUGCUAUGGUGGUGGCAGACGACGACCUCGCGAUGGUGGUGGCGCCUGCAAUCCCACAGCUUGGCGAUAGGACCAUGCCAAUUGUGGUAGAGGAGUACAUCCGCAUUGGGAUUCGCCACUCUGAGCGCAUCAGGUUGAUGAAGGAGAAGAAGGAGGAGUGAAGAUGUUAAGAAAAUGAAGUGGCAAUGUUAAGCAUGUUAGGUUUAAGCUUGUUAGUGUAAUCUGAACAUGUCAAUGUUAAGUAUGUCAGGUUUAAUUUUUUGCAUGCUCAUGGAUGCUGUAUGACAGUG
rnacentral:lncRNA from 1 species